GUUUUGUUGUUGUAACCGCAGGAGGCAAAUUUUCAGUAUGGGAAGUAGACAACACUAGUCUAAAACCCUAUAACAAGAGUGAAGAACAGUCAGUUAUGACCCCAUAGUCAUUUCUAUGUCGGGGUGAUUGGAAAAGAGACCAUACAAAAACGGAGAUGGAUGAUUUAAAACAAAAAGAAAGAGAACAACAAGAGUUAGAGAGAUGGUACCCUAAACAGGUUAAAGUAAAGAAAUACCACUGAAUUGUUUGGAAUGCCGCCACUCUGAAGGGUGCCGGCUCAGGUUCCUGUGAAGCUGCCGGAUGCUGCUGCUCCGAAGGCCGCCGCCUCAGGUGCCUGUGAAGCUGCAGGAUGCUGCUGCUCUGAGCGCCACCGCCUCAGGUUCCUGUGAAGCUGCAGGAUGCUGCAGCUCCGAAGGCAGCCACCUGUGAAGCUGCAGGAUGCUGCUGCUCUGAGCGCCACCGCCUCAGGUUCCUGUGAAGCUGCAGGAUGCUGCAGCUCCGAAGGCAGCCACCUGUGAAGCUGCCGGAUGCUGCUGCUCCGAAGGCCGCCGCCUCAGGUGCCUGUGAAGCUGCAGGAUGCUGCUGCUCUGAGCACCACCGCCUCAGGUUCCUGUGAAGCUGCAGGAUGCUGCUGCUUUGAGGGCCACCACCUCAGGUUCCUGUGAAGCUGCAGGAUGCUGCUGCUCCGAAGGCUGCCGCCUCAGGUGCCUGUGAAGCUGCAGGAUGCUGCAGCUCCGAAGGCCGCCGCCUCAGGUGCCUGUGAAGCUGCAGGAUGCUGCUGCUCUGAGGGCCACCACCUCAGGUUCCUGUGAAGCUGCAGGAUGCUGCUGCUCUGAGGGCCACCACCUCAGGUUCCUGUGAAGCUGCAGGAUGCUGCUGCUCCGAAGGCCGCCACCUCAAGUUCCUGUGAAGCUGCAGGAUGCUGCUGCUCUGAGGGCCACCACCUCAGGUUCCUGUGAAGCUGCAGGAUGCUGCUGCUCUGAGGGCCACCACCUCAGGUUCCUGUGAAGCUGCAGGAUGCUGCUGCUUCCGAAGGGCACCACCUCAGGUUCCUGUGAAGCUGCAGGAUGCUGCUGCUCCGAAGGCUGCCGCCUCAGGUGCCUGUGAAGCUGCAGGAUGCUGCUGCUCUGAGGGCCACCACCUCAGGUGCCUGUGAAGCUGCAGGAUGCUGCCACUCCGAAGGCAGCCACCUCAGGUUCCUGUGAAGCUGCAGGAUGCUGCUGCUCUGAGGGCCACCACCUCAGGUUCCUGUGAAGCUGCAGGAUGCUGCUGCUCUGAGGGCCACCACCUCAGGUUCCUGUGAAGCUGCAGGAUGCUGCUGCUCCGAAGGCUGCCGCCUCAGGUGCCUGUGAAGCUGCAGGAUGCUGCUGCUCCGAAGGCAGCCACCUCAGGUUCCUGUGAAGCUGCAGGAUGCUGCUGCUCUGAGGGCCACCACCUCAGGUGCCUGUGAAGCUGCAGGAUGCUGCCACUCCGAAGGCAGCCACCUCAGGUUCCUGUGAAGCUGCAGGAUGCUGCUGCUCUGAGGGCCACCACCUCAGGUUCCUGUGAAGCUGCAGGAUGCUGCUGCUCUGAGGGCCACCACCUCAGGUUCCUGUGAAGCUGCAGGAUGCUGCUGCUCUGAGGGCCACCACCUCAGGUGCCUGUGAAGCUGCAGGAUGCUGCUGCUCUGAGGGCCACCACCUCAGGUUCCUGUGAAGCUGCAGGAUGCUGCUGCUCUGAGGGCCACCACCUCAGGUGCCUAUGACGCUGUCCCUGCGGCCUCGAGCACCAGGUGUUCGAGGCCGCAGGGACCUUACACCUGGUGUAAACCCAUUUUUUUUUUUUUUUUAUAAUCAGAUUUUUUUAGAUUUAAAUCAGGUUUACUUAAUUUUUUAUUUAUAACCAUAUAUAUUUAGAACAAUACUAUGUAUUGUAUACAUUGGGGUAAAACACAUUUUGGAGUGCUUUAACAGCAUUGUUACAUUGUAUAAAAAGUAUGUUUCACAUUUUGAUAAUAUAUUUUUGUGAUAAUGAUAGAGCUGCAGGGACCUUACACCUGGUAUAAACCCAUUCCUCUUUUUCUUUUUUUUAUAAUCAGAUUUUUUUAGAUUUAAAUCAGGUUUACUUUAUUUUUUAUUUAUAACCAUAUCUAUUUAGAAAGAUACUAUGUAUGCACUGUAUAAAAAGUAUUUUAUCACAUUUUGAAAAUGUAUUUUUGUGAUAAUGAUUAUUAUUGAAAAGUUUUUAUAGGGCAAUUGUCUGAUCAUGUAUAUAAAUAAUUGUACCAA